rnacentral:rRNA from 1 species
GAUGCCUACGGGACGCAGCAGUGGGGAAUAUUGCACAAUGGGGGAAACCCUGAUGCAGCGACGCCGCGUGAAGGAUGAAGUAUUUCGGUAUGUAAACUUCUAUCAGCAGGGAAGAAAAUGACGGUACCUGACCAAGAAGCCCCGGCUAACUACGUGCCAGCAGCCGCGGUAAUACGUAGGGGGCAAGCGUUAUCCGGAAUUACUGGGUGUAAAGGGAGCGUAGACGGCUGUGCAAGUCUGGAGUGAAAGGCGGGGGCCCAACCCCCGGACUGCUCUGGAAACUGUAUGGCUG